GGCAACCAGUGAGAAGGAUAACUCAGGGAUAGAAUACGAGAAGUGCUCUACAAUAAAGGGGAGGAUGGUACAUCACUUGGUAGGCUUGUGCUGGAGGACCGGGGAAGACAAACCAGCUGAAGCAGGACUUGAAUGACAUGGCAUUUCACAAGUAGAGAACUGCGGGGAGCUGAAAGAAGGUCAUCGUGGGAUGAUGUUCGAGGGACUUCUGCCCCAUGCCAGUUGGUCUGAGAUGGAGAGAAACUUGAAGAGCUUGAAGAAUGUUACCAAGAAUGAAAAAGUUUGAAGAUAGGGGAGUUGGAAGGAAUACCUGGUAGAGGACAUUCUUGAAGGUGUGGAAAUAGAGUCUAGAACACAACUGAAUAAAGAGGGCUCCCCAUUUUGUGAGAUUGGAGGUGAAGAGGGAAAUUUGUGGAAAGAGGAACUUGGCAAGGAUGACCAAGGUAAUAGCAAUUUCUUGUUUUGAAAUAAAAAUCAAGGUGUUCCACUGGA